rnacentral:lncRNA from 1 species
UCGCAUAAAGCCUUUGCUGCUGCUGUUUCUCUACGAUGUUCGCCACUCUCUAUCAGCAUUAACACAAACAAAGCAAAGACACAACCACCACCACCACCUCAACAAAGACGACGACGACUACGACAAAGACGACGAGGACGACGAGAAUGAAGAGACAACGAUGACUAUCCUCACCUCUUCUCUCUCUCUCUCUCUCACACACAUGACACGCGUACACGAGCUGGCGCACCCUGAGCUGGAAGAAAUGCCAAGAGAACGUGGCUCUCGACUGAAAAAACUCUCUCGAUGAGAAAACUGGGUAGAGACGACGAAAAAGAAAAAAAAAGAAAGAAUUUCAAGAACUAUGUUACUUAAUAAUAAAUUAAAUUAUUUUAACAAAUUAAUUUUAACUUCGAAUAUUUCGUAUAAGCUAUGCUAUUUCCUAAAUAAUAAUAAUAAUCAACAACAACAACAAUGUGAGUUGCACUCUUCCCUCGUGGAAUGCAGAUGUAACAUUUAAAUAAUAUUAAAUAUUUCAACACGUGAAA